GAGCGGCGAACGGGUGAGUAACACGUGAGUAACCUGCCCCUGACUCUGGGAUAAGCCUGGGAAACUGGGUCUAAUACCGGAUAUGACAUCUACCCGCAUGGGUGGGGUGUGGAAAGUUUUUUCGGUUGGGGAUGGGCUCGCGGCCUAUCAGCUUGUUGGUGGGGUAGUGGCCUACCAAGGCGACGACGGGUAGCCGGCCUGAGAGGGCGACCGGCCACACUGGGACUGAGACACGGCCCAGACUCCUACGGGAGGCAGCAGUGGGGAAUAUUGCGCAAUGGGCGGAAGCCUGACGCAGCGACGCCGCGUGGGGGAUGACGGCCUUCGGGUUGUAAACCUCUUUCAGCAGGGACGAAGUUGACGUGUACCUGUAGAAGAAGCGCCGGCUAACUACGUGCCAGCAGCCGCGGUAAUACGUAGGGCGCAAGCGUUGUCCGGAAUUAUUGGGCGUAAAGAGCUCGUAGGUGGCUUGUUGCGUCUGCCGUGAAAGCCCGUGGCUUAACUGCGGGUCUGCGGUGGAUACGGGCAGGCUAGAGGCUGGUAGGGGCAAGCGGAAUUCCU
rnacentral:rRNA from 2 species